CACCUAGGGCGCAAUGGAAUAUUCCAUUGCCCCUCCUGUCCUGGGUCUGUGUUGCGGGGAACGCUCGCGCGGUUGCCAGAGAAAGCCCCGGACGUGACGGAUUUGCGCGACCCCAAGCAGCCCGCCCUUCCCCCUCCCAUCCGUCAUUCCCCUGCGCUCUCUUUCCUCACCCUUCCCCCCGCCACCGUGGGUUCCAGACUUGGGAUAAGUAAACAGCGGGUGGAGCGAGGCCUACGGACCCAGGCCAGGUGGGAGUCUGCACUCUUCAAGGGGCCUGGGCUGCUGCUCACGGGUAUUAAAGAACUCCGCGUUGUUCAUGGCUGAGGCGAUGCAUUAGGAAGAUCCUGGACCUAGAGAACAAGUCCCCCGAACGCUGAGUUGGAGGCGGGACUUCGGGUGCGCGUUGGCGGGAGCAUGCUGGGGCUCUGGGGGCAGCGGCUCCCCGCGGCGUGGGUCCUGCUUCUGUUGCCUUUCCUGCCGCUGCUGCUGCUUGCAGCCCCCGCGCCCCACCGCGAGUCCUACAAGCCGGUCAUCGUGGUGCAUGGGCUCUUCGACAGCUCGUACAGCUUCCGCCACCUGCUGGAAUACAUCAAUGAGACACACCCCGGGACUGUGGUGACAGUGCUCGAUCUCUUCGAUGGGAGAGAGAGCUUGCGACCCCUGUGGGAACAGGUGCAAGGGUUCCGAGAGGCUGUGGUCCCCAUCAUGGCAAAGGCCCCUCAAGGGGUGCAUCUCAUCUGCUACUCGCAGGGGGGCCUUGUGUGCCGGGCUCUGCUUUCUGUCAUGGAUGAUCACAACGUGGAUUCUUUCAUCUCCCUCUCCUCUCCACAGAUGGGACAGUAUGGAGACACGGACUACUUGAAGUGGCUGUUCCCCACCUCCAUGCGGUCUAACCUCUAUCGGAUCUGCUAUAGCCCCUGGGGCCAGGAAUUCUCCAUCUGCAACUACUGGCAUGAUCCCCACCACGAUGACUUGUACCUCAAUGCCAGCAGCUUCCUGGCCCUGAUCAAUGGGGAAAGAGACCAUCCCAAUGCCACAGUAUGGCGGAAGAACUUUCUGCGUGUGGGCCACCUGGUGCUGAUUGGGGGCCCUGAUGAUGGUGUUAUUACUCCCUGGCAGUCCAG